ACUUAAAUUGAAGAGUUUGAUCAUGGCUCAGAUUGAACGCUGGCGGCAGGCCUAACACAUGCAAGUCGAGCGGUAGCACAGAGAGCUUGCUCUCGGGUGACGAGCGGCGGACGGGUGAGUAAUGUCUGGGAAACUGCCUGAUGGAGGGGGAUAACUACUGGAAACGGUAGCUAAUACCGCAUAAUGUCGCAAGACCAAAGUGGGGGACCUUCGGGCCUCAUGCCAUCAGAUGUGCCCAGAUGGGAUUAGCUUGUAGGUGGGGUAACGGCUCACCUAGGCGACGAUCCCUAGCUGGUCUGAGAGGAUGACCAGCCACACUGGAACUGAGACACGGUCCAGACUCCUACGGGAGGCAGCAGUGGGGAAUAUUGCACAAUGGGCGCAAGCCUGAUGCAGCCAUGCCGCGUGUGUGAAGAAGGCCUUCGGGUUGUAAAGCACUUUCAGCGGGGAGGAAGGCGUUAAGGUUAAUAACCUUGGCGAUUGACGUUACCCGCAGAAGAAGCACCGGCUAACUCCGUGCCAGCAGCCGCGGUAAUACGGAGGGUGCAAGCGUUAAUCGGAAUUACUGGGCGUAAAGCGCACGCAGGCGGUCUGUCAAGUCGGAUGUGAAAUCCCCGGGCUCAACCUGGGAACUGCAUUCGAAACUGGCAGGCUAGAGUCUUGUAGAGGGGGGUAGAAUUCCAGGUGUAGCGGUGAAAUGCGUAGAGAUCUGGAGGAANUACCGGUGGCGAAGGCGGCCCCCUGGACAAAGACUGACGCUCAGGUGCGAAAGCGUNGGGGAGCAAACAGGAUUAGAUACCCUGGUAGUCCACGCCGUAAACGAUGUCGAUUUNGGAGGUUGUGCCCUUGAGGCGUGGCUUCCGGAGCUAACGCGUUAAAUCGACCGCCUGGGGAGUACGGCCGCNAAGGUUAAAACUCAAAUGAAUUGACGGGGGCCCGNCACAAGCGGUGGAGCAUGUGGUUUAAUUCGAUGCAACGCGAAGAACCUUACCUGGUCUUGACAUCCACAGAACUUAGCAGAGAUGCUUUGGUGCCUUCGGGAACUGUGAGACAGGUGCUGCAUGGCUGUCGUCAGCUCGUGUUGUGAAAUGUUGGGUUAAGUCCCGCAACGAGCGCAACCCUUAUCCUUUGUUGCCAGCGGUCCGGCCGGGAACUCAAAGGAGACUGCCAGUGNAUAAACUGGAGGAAGGUGGGGAUGACGUCAAGUCAUCAUGGCCCUUACGACCAGGGCUACACACGUGCUACAAUGGCAUAUACAAAGAGAAGCGACCUCGCGAGAGCAAGCGGACCUCAUAAAGUAUGUCGUAGUCCGGAUUGGAGUCUGCAACUCGACUCCAUGAAGUCGGAAUCGCUAGUAAUCGUAGAUCAGAAUGCUACGGUGAAUACGUUCCCGGGCCUUGUACNACACCGCCCGUCACACCAUGGGAGUGGNGUUGCAAAAGAAGUAGGUAGCUUAACCUUCGGGAGGGCGCUUACCACUUUGUGAUUCAUGACUGGGGUGAAGUCGUAACAAGGUAACCGUAGGGGAACCUGCGGUUGGAUCACCUCCUUACCUUAAAGAA
rnacentral:rRNA from 1 species